rfam:Rattus norvegicus chromosome 13, whole genome shotgun sequence.
GGGGAUUUAGCUCAGUGGUAGAGCGAUUGCCUAGGAAGCGCAAGGCCCUGGGUUCGGUCCCCAGCUCCG